GACGAAGAAGAAACGAAAAAUGGAAGUGGAAGAAGAGGAGGAGCCAAGCCACAAUAUUUAGCUGAGAUGGGCCUCUGCUGUGGCCAGGCAGUUCAGCCUUGCCGUCAACCCUCCAUGUGAUGAGUGAGUUGCCAGUUGAGCUGGAGUGUCCUGGUAUUGGGGGCUCGUCUGGUAUUGUAGACAACCAUCUGUGUAACCUUUUCGUGAAGAGGUCCGGUGUGACCCGUCAGGUUCCUGAUGGUGUCCGGCACAGCGUUGAAGAGGUCCGCAGAAAACGACACGCCAAUUUAUUUGAAGUCAAGGACGGAGAUUAAAACAGCCUUGA